rnacentral:lncRNA from 1 species
UUCCUAAUCUAGAUAAGAAUACUUUAGAAAUUAAUCGUAAAUAAGUAGUAACUCUACUUUCAAAUUGUUUUAUAUUUUAACAAAUGAAAAUGCACUUUAGAAAUAUAUUUCAGAGGCCUUAGAGUUAGUUAUAAUUGUUUUUUUCUUCAUCUUCUUUAGAUAAGAGAGAGACAACGAGCAACCAAAAAUAAAAAAAUAAAAAAUACAUAUCUUCUUUGGUUCACCUAAAAUGAGAAAAAGGAAAUAAAAAGAAUAAAGACCCCACAAAAAUUCUUGCAAAAUAAAAGAGAAACUAAAGUGAAAAAAAACAAAACAAGGACUUCAUAAAAAUGAAUAAAGUUGCUGAAACUAUCAUGACUAAAUUGAUAGAGUGAGUGCAAUAAUAAGCUAUUACAACUCCUAUUCUUUAAAUAUCCUACCCCAAAUUUGUGGCCCUAUUAAAAUUUAUAAAAUUCUUUCUAAAUUCACAUGUAUUAUCAUAAGAGUUGUAGUUGAGAUUACGGUUCACAGUUAAACAUGUGGAAGAAUAAUUCUCUGACAAAAGAAAUAGAGAAUUCAUGGAACUUGAAAUAAUGAAAGAC